GUGUCUUGUGUCCAUUGGUGUGCUCAUAUGCAUGCAUACAAGUCCUUUGGUUGAUCUAUUUCCCUCCCUCCCCAACACUCCCCAGCCUUCCCGCUGUAAUUUGACAGUCUGUUCGGUGCUUUACUGCCUCUGUAUCUAUCUUUUUAUUCAUCAGGUUAUAAUGUUCUUUAUUUUCCAUAAAUGAGAUUCUGAUUCUUUCUGUUCAUCAUUAGUUCCUGGGAUUUAUUUUGACUAUGGGGGUCCCAGUGAUUCUAGUUCAUGGCCAGACAGUUAAGAAUGUCAAGUCUGGUCCUGCUCUUCAGGAAAGACAGACAGACAGGGGAGAUGGCAUGUUCAAAAUUAAUUUGAGAGCAAAGGUGUAAUGAGAAACAUGUAAACAUAAAUGGAUAGGUGGCUGCUGGCUUGGAGACCAUGAUAGCUCAUGAAGAAUGCAAAAGGUGGCUGGGUGAGAUUUUGGGGAGAAGUCACAGAGAGGAAAAGACACAGCAGGCUCUCUUUUCUUCAGGGCCCAGUGCAAAAUGAAAAUGUGGGGCCUUUUAUUCGAAAAGGCAGGAGGGAAAAAUGCCACUAUAGGUACAAAAUAUAAAGAUAUCUCCUGUCUUCCAUGUUCUCUCUUUGGAAUUGUUGUGAGCAAGUUCUGGUUGGAAUGGAAAGCAUGUAACAUGCUUACCUUGCACUCAGUUUCCGUGUUGCUGACCUUUCACACAUCAUGGGACCAUUGGAAUUCUGUGCUCAUGGGGCAUCAAGAAUGCUAUGCAUGAAUGGAGCAGCGAAGAACGGUCAUGGAUAUUCUGGGGCCCCUGGGCAGGAACUCGUAAGCCACAAGCUGGAAGGAACCUGGGUCCCUAAAACACCAUACAGAGAAGAAUGAUAAGAUUCACAUUGGACUCUUCAAUGAUUGAGUAAUCAGCUUCUUCUGUGAUAAGCCACUGAAAUAUGAACGUGUAUUUGUUGCAGUAGUUAGUGUUAUGUCAUCACAGCCGUCAUCCAAGCCAAACUCCAUCAGAGCCUAAAUCAUCUUUUCUUUAGAUAGAUACUGUUAAAGUAAUGAAGUAGGCCUAGGUGCAUCAACGUCGAUAUAGCUGUAAAACAAAGUGUGUUGAAAACAAUGUUCAGAGUGAU